GAUGAACGCUAGCGGCAGGCUUAACACAUGCAAGUCGUGGGGCAGCGCGGACUUCGGUCUGGCGGCGACCGGCAAACGGGUGCGGAACACGUACGCAACCUCCCUCAGAGCGGGGAAUAGCCUCUCGAAAGAGAGAUUAAUACCCCAUAGUAUCUUGAAGACACAUGUCUAUGAGAUUAAAGCUUCGGCACUUUGAGAUGGGCGUGCGGCUGAUUAGGUAGUUGGUAGGGUAACGGCCUACCAAGCCGACGAUCAGUAGCUGAUGUGAGAGCAUGAUCAGCCACACGGGCACUGAGACACGGGCCCGACUCCUACGGGAGGCAGCAGUGAGGAAUAUUGGUCAAUGGAGGAAACUCUGAACCAGCCAUGCCGCGUGGAGGAUGAAGGUCCUCUGGAUUGUAAACUCCUUUUAUAAAAGAAGAAACCCCAUUUUUCUAAAUGGGUUGACGGUACUUUAUGAAUAAGCACCGGCUAACUCCGUGCCAGCAGCCG
rnacentral:rRNA from 1 species